GAUGAACGCUGGCGGCGUGCUUAACACAUGCAAGUCGAACGGUGAACGAGGGAGCUUGCUCCCUCCGGAUCAGUGGCGAACGGGUGAGUAACACGUGAGCAAUCUGCCCUGGACUCUGGGAUAAGCGUUGGAAACGACGUCUAAUACCGGAUACGAGACGUGAAGGCAUCUUCAACGUCUGGAAAGAACUUCGGUCCAGGAUGAGCUCGCGGCCUAUCAGGUAGUUGGUGAGGUUACGGCUCACCAAGCCUACGACGGGUAGCCGGCCUGAGAGGGUGACCGGCCACACUGGGACUGAGACACGGCCCAGACUCCUACGGGAGGCAGCAGUGGGGAAUAUUGCACAAUGGGCGCAAGCCUGAUGCAGCAACGCCGCGUGAGGGACGACGGCCUUCGGGUUGUAAACCUCUUUUAGCAGGGAAGAAGCGAAAGUGACGGUACCUGCAGAAAAAGCACCGGCUAACUACGUGCCAGCCGCCGCGGUAAUAC
rnacentral:rRNA from 1 species